rnacentral:rRNA from 1 species
CCACAAUGGACGAAAGUCUGAUGGAGCGACGCCGCGUGCGGGAUGAAGGCCUUAUGGGUUGUAAACCGCUGUCAGGGGGGAAGAACAUCGGAAUGAACAAUACUCAUUCCGACUAACGUUACCCCCAGAGGAAGCUCCGGCCAACUCCGUGCCAGCAGCCGCGGUAAUACGGGGGAGCAAGCGUUGUCCGGAAUUAUUGGGCGUAAAGGGCGUGUAGGCGGCGAGGUAAGUCGGAAUGUGAAAUCUCACGGCUCAACCGUGAAACUGCGUUCGAAACUACCCUGCUUGAGUACGGGAGAGGUGUACGGAAUUCCGUGGUGUAAGCGGUGGAAU